rnacentral:rRNA from 1 species
AUUGAACGCUGGCGGCAGGCCUAACACAUGCAAGUCGAGCGAGCGGCGGACGGGUGAGUAAUGUCUGGGAAACUGCCUGAUGGAGGGGGAUAACUACUGGAAACGGUAGCUAAUACCGCAUACCAUCAGAUGUGCCCAGAUGGGAUUAGCUAGUAGGUGGGGUAACGGCUCACCUAGGCGACGAUCCCUAGCUGGUCUGAGAGGAUGAACAGCCACACUGGGACGUAGACACGGUCCAGACGCCGACGGGAGGCAGCAUUGGGGAAUAUUGCACAAUGGGCUCAAUCCUGAUGCAGCCAUGCCGCGGGUUGGAAGAAGUCCUGCGGAUUGUAAAGCCCUUUCAGCGAAGAGGCGUUCCCCGCAGAAGAAGCUCCGGCUAACACCGUGCCAGCAGCCGCGGUAAUAC